rnacentral:rRNA from 1 species
UACGUAGGGUGCAAGCGUUGUCCGGAAUUAUUGGGCGUAAAGAGCUCGUAGGCGGUCUGUCGCGUCUGCUGUGAAAACUCGGGGCUUAACCCCGGGCCUGCAGUGGGUACGGGCAGACUAGAGUGCGGUAGGGGAGACUGGAAUUCCUGGUGUAGCGGUGAAAUGCGCAGAUAUCAGGAGGAACACCGGUGGCGAAGGCGGGUCUCUGGGUCGGACCUGACGCUGAGGCGCGAAAGCGUGGGGAGCGAACGGG